AUUGAACGCUGGCGGCAUGCCUUACACAUGCAAGUCGAACGGUAACAGGUCUUCGGAUGCUGACGAGUGGCGAACGGGUGAGUAAUACAUCGGAACGUGCCUAGUAGUGGGGGAUAACUACUCGAAAGAGUGGCUAAUACCGCAUGAGAUCUACGGAUGAAAGCAGGGGAUCGCAAGACCUUGUGCUACUAGAGCGGCCGAUGGCAGAUUAGGUAGUUGGUGGGAUAAAAGCUUACCAAGCCGACGAUCUGUAGCUGGUCUGAGAGGACGAUCAGCCACGCUGGGACUGAGACACGGCCCAGACUCCUACGGGAGGCAGCAGUGGGGAAUUUUGGACAAUGGGCGCAAGCCUGAUCCAGCAAUGCCGCGUGCAGGAUGAAGGCCUUCGGGUUGUAAACUGCUUUUGUACGGAACGAAAAGCCCUGGGUUAAUACCCUGGGGUCAUGACGGUACCGUAAGAAUAAGCUCCGGCUAACUACGUGCCAGCCGCCGCCGUAA
rnacentral:rRNA from 1 species